rnacentral:lncRNA from 1 species
UUUACGUUUUCUUUAUUUUUAAACCUAUUGGAGCCAAAAGUCUCCAAUAACACCACAAAAACUCGCUAGAUUUGUCGCUAGUCGCUUUUUACAAAAAAAGUCGCUAAAUAUAGCGACAAAGUCGCUAAGUUGGCAACACUGCAACUGGCUCUUCUUUAGCGCUGUUCGUUUUUAACUGCUUUUACGUUUUUAACUGGGUCCCUUUUUUUCAGACGGUCCCUUGCGAUCUUCAGCGCCCCCUGCUGCAGUGAUUCCGUCUAUUUUCAUUAAAUGUUUUGGGAGAAAGGGAAAGUCAGGACUUUUGGGCAGAUAUAAUGUGUAUAGUUUGUUUUCUUUUCCUCUGUAGUUUGGAAAAUGUAGUUUGGAAGAGUUUAUGACGUUGUUUGUGAGCAAGAGAAGGGAUAAAAAGCAUAAAUAAGUAGAAUUUAGAGUAAAAACCAGCUGAGCAGCUCGUCUUUCUGCCGGAGUGACGUAUUGUUUGCGCAGACAGACAGACAGACAGACAGCAGCAGUGUGUACACCUUGAUUCCUCAGCUCCGGAGCUCAGUUUGAGGAAGUUCUCUACAGCUGAAGGCUGUGUUUCUACUUUUCCCUGAUGCCACAGACCUCCAAACGAAUGGAGGGCAAGACGGGGGUGCCCUUACCUCAGCUCAGCAAUGAGAUGCAGCUGGAUAUUAUGCACAAGGUGAAGAACGGGGAGCUGAGUAUCGAUGAUGCUCUGGACUUGGCCAGGAGGGACCGUCAGCAGCUGCUGCAGAAAAGUUUCGAUACCGAGGAAAAGCAAGCCUUGCAGUACAACUUCAGCGUGCACAAAUUAGGCGGCUACAGAUGGCAAAAACGUGUAUUGCAGGUACCCAAAACACAAACAUCUGCACUCUUUUAUUCUAAUAUCUCUAUAUAUAGAGGAUCC